GACGGGUUAGUAACGCGUGGGAACGUGCCCUUUUCUGCGGAAUAGCCACUGGAAACGGUGAGUAAUACCGCAUACGCCCUUCGGGGGAAAGAUUUAUCGGAGAAGGAUCGGCCCGCGUUAGAUUAGGUAGUUGGUGGGGUAAUGGCCUACCAAGCCUACGAUCUAUAGCUGGUUUGAGAGGAUGAUCAGCAACACUGGGACUGAGACACGGCCCAGACUCCUACGGGAGGCAGCAGUGGGGAAUCUUAGACAAUGGGGGCAACCCUGAUCUAGCCAUGCCGCGUGAGUGAUGAAGGCCUUAGGGUCGUAAAGCUCUUUCGCUGGGGAUGAUAAUGACAGUACCCAGUAAAGAAACCCCGGCUAACUCCGUGCCAGCAGCCGCGGUAAUACGGAGGGGGUUAGCGUUGUUCGGAAUUACUGGGCGUAAAGCGCACGUAGGCGGACUGGAAAGUUAGAGGUGAAAUCCCGGGGCUCAACCCCGGAACUGCCUUUAAAACUAUCAGUCUAGAGUUCGAGAGAGGUGAGUGGAAUUCCGAGUGUAGAGGUGAAAUUCGUAGAUAUUCGGAGGAACACCAGUGGCGAAGGCGGCUCACUGGCUCGAUACUGACGCUGAGGUGCGAAAGUGUGGGGAGCAAACAGGAUUAGAUACCCUGGUAGUCCACACCGUAAACGAUGAAUGCCAGUCGUCCGGGUUGGCUUGCAACUC
rnacentral:rRNA from 1 species